ACGAACGCUGGCGGCAUGCCUAACACAUGCCAGUCGUACGAGACCUUCGGGUCUAGUGGCGCACGGGUGCGUAACGCGUGGGAACCUGCCCUUAGGUUCGGAAUAACUCCCCGUAAGGGGUGCUAAUACCGGAUAAUGUCUUCGGACCAAAGAUUUAUCGCCUUUGGAUGGGCCCGCGUUGGAUUAGCUAGUUGGUAGGGUAAAAGCCUACCAAGGCGACGAUCCAUAGCUGGUCUGAGAGGAUGAUCAGCCACACUGAGACUGAGACACGGCCCAGACUCCUACGGGAGGCAGCAGUGGGUAAUAUUGGACAAUGGGCGAAAUCCUGAUCCAGCAAUGCCGCGUGAGUGAUGAAGGCCUUAGGGUUGUAAAGCUCUUUUACCCGGGAUGAUAAUGACGGUACCGGGAGAAUAAGCUCCGGCUAACUCCGUG
rnacentral:rRNA from 1 species